AGGAUGUUGCUUUAUAUAUAUAUAUAUAUAUAUAUGUGGAAAGUAGACACACAUUUUUAUUUUUGAAUUAGAAAGCUACAAACUUUUCAAAAACAUUUUUUUUUUUCAUGCCCUUUGGUUUUGUCAGGAUAUUUGCUCGGUGUGGGGUUCUUGCUUCACGUCUCUACCUUCUGAAUUUUCCAGGGUCAGCUCGUUUCGGGAUCUGCUUGAGCUGGUGUUUUGUUCCUCGUUGAACGCUGAAGUGUUUGCGAUGACAUGCUGGAGUAUUUGGAGUCGCCGGAAUAUGCUGCGCGUGGGAGAGGGGGUCUGGCCGUUGAAUAAAAUAGCUGGUGUUGCACGGCGUCAUCUGCAGGAGUUUCAACAGGUUCGGCACUGUCCCAGCAAGAAGGUUCGUGCACAGAGACCUCAGUGGAAGCCUCCUGAUGCGGGUUUGGUGAAGGUAAAUUUUGAUGGGGCGAUCUUUGAAGAUUUAAGGGCAGCAGGUAUUGGAGUUGCCGUUCGGAAUGAACAUGGAGAAGUGGUUGCAGCUUUGGCAGAGCAGAUUCCUAUUCCAGAUUCUGCUUUUACUCUUGAAACUUUGGCAGCUAGGCGUGCGGUUCUUUUUGCUCAAGAACUUGGUCUUCGUCAUGUUGUUUUUGAGGGUGAUUCGGGAUCGUCCAUUCAUGCUAUUAGUAAUGGACUUUUAUUACAUUCAUCGUGGUCAUAUUAUUCAUGACAUUUUAUUGUUUUCUCGUUCUUUUCAGAGUUUUCCUUUCGCUCAUAUAUGUAGGCAAGGUAAUGCUUUAACGGAUGUCUUGGCUAAGAGACCUAGGUUGUCUAGUCCUUUAUUGGUUUAGAUGGAGUCUGCUCCUCCGGAUUUGUAUAAUUGUUAUUUGUCGAUUUUUUCGUCUUUUAAUUAAA